UACAGAGGUCCCAAGCGUUGUUCGGAUUCACUGGGCGUAAAGGGUGCGUAGGCGGUCGGGUAAGUCUGAUGUGAAAUCUCCAAGCCUAACUUGGAAACUGCAUUGGAUACUAUUCGGCUUGAGAGUUGGAGGGGGGACUGGAAUUCUUGGUGUAGCAGUGAAAUGCGUAGAUAUCAAGAGGAACACCAGUGGCGAAGGCGAGUCCCUGGACAACUUCUGACGCUGAGGCACGAAAGCUAGGGGAGCAAACAGG
rnacentral:rRNA from 1 species